AUUCGCCCUUAGAGUUUGAUCCUGGCUCAGGACGAACGCUGGCGGCGUGCUUAACACAUGCAAGUCGAACGGGAUUUAGUAGACAGAAACCUCGGUGGAAGAUUACUAAUGAGAGUGGCGAACGGGUGAGUAACGCGUGAGCAACCUGCCUAUGACAGUGGGAUAGCCUCGGGAAACCGGGAUUAAUACCGCAUAAAAUCGUAGAAACACAUGUUUCAACGGUCAAAGAUUUAUCGGUCAUAGAUGGGCUCGCGUCUGAUUAGCUAGUUGGUGAGAUAACAGCCCACCAAGGCGACGAUCAGUAGCCGGUCUGAGAGGAUGAACGGCCACAUUGGAACUGAGACACGGUCCAAACUCCUACGGGAGGCAGCAGUGGGGAAUAUUGCACAAUGGGGGAAACCCUGAUGCAGCGACGCCGCGUGAACGAAGAAGGUAUUCGUAUCGUAAAGUUCUGUCCUAUGGGAAGAUAAUGACAGUACCAUAGAAGAAAGCUCCGGCUAAAUACGUGCCAGCAGCCGCGGUAA
rnacentral:rRNA from 2 species